CUGGCAUCAUGGUUUUAAUGAAUAGUGAGUGAAUACCCAUGGGAAACCUUGCCGUGAAUUGAGGAGGCUAAUAUGUAAACAGCUGUCUGUGAUCCAACCCACUAUAUGUAAUAACAUGGGCUUGUACAAAGUUCUGUGGAGACUUGGAAAAGAAAACUACUAAUUCUGCCUGUGUAAAGUUAGUGAAGACUUUCCAGAGGAAGUGGCAUGGGAGCUGGAAUCUACAGGAUGUGACAUAGGGCAUUUCUUAUUUGUGUUGGGGAAAAGGCAAGGCAUACCUUCCAGCUUUGAAGUUUCCUGGGAGUUUGGAGAUCAUGCUAGAUGAAGACACUCAACAUGAAGAAUCUUUAUUUUGGGACCACUAGGCCUCACUGCUUUCUAGGGAUGAGAUGAGGUAGACAUAGAAUGUAUUAAGAGAAGCACAAUAUUCAAAAGAAUCCAGUGUCAAUCUUAGGUAGUAGAGCUUCAGGACUACCUGCUAUACCUUAUUCUAUUCCCAUGCCACCCUCAGGCAGGCUCAGACAAGACACCAAAGGUGUCUGAAGACCCUGGGUAGCCUUCCAGGUCACAGACAUGAACACAACCUGAGGGACUUGGGGGACAUAUCAAAAGAACCAACAUACACAUUUUAUAAGAGUCCCAGUAGGGGAAGAAAGAGAAAAAUGAGAAGAAAAAUAUUUGAAAAAAUUAAUGGUUGAAAAUUUUCCAAAUCAGAUGAAAGACAUGAAUCUACACGCCCAAGAAGCUUAAUGAAGCUGGAUAAACUCAAUGAGAUAUACGCUGAAACACAUUAUAGCCAAGUUGUUGAAAAUCAAAGAUAAAGAAAAAAAUCUGGAAAGAUGCAAAGGGGAAAAGACUCACCACAAGUGAAUGGUCCUCAAUAAGAUUAACAGUGGAUAUCUUAUCAGAAACCAUGAAGGGCAGAAGGUAGUGUGAUGAUACAUCUUAACUGAUGAAAGAAAAAACUGUCAAUCAAAAAUUUUAUAUUUAGAAAAUCCUAUCCUUUGAGAGAAGAAGAAAUUCAGAUAUUUCCAGAUAAACAAAAGUCAAGGUAGUUUUUCACUAAUAGACCUGCCAUAAAAAUAUUUUAAGUGAGUUCUUCAUGCAGAAGUAAAAGUAUAUAGUACCUCAAAGCCAUAUGAAGAAAUAAAGAUCACUGAUAAAGGCAACCUCAUUAAUAAAUAG
rnacentral:lncRNA from 10 species